UUUCAAUUAACAAAGAAAAGAAAAACACUAAAUAUCCUUUGUAUGGAAUAGCAUUAGGAUUGUCAUAUGGAGUAGCAUUUGGAGGAAUAGUGUCAUUGAUCUUGAUAAAAAUGAGUUGGAGAAGGAAAUAUUUCAGUAAAGUUGAUGCAAUCCUAAAAAUUGUGUUUCCUUGGAUGAAGGACUUGACACUAUAAAAGGAUACAUCUAUAAAAGGCAAAAACACAUUAUUGGUGGCUUCACCCAACAUAUUAUUAUAUAUAGUUUGAUUGUUACGCUAAAUCAAGAUAAAAAUUGUUCUUUCAUAGACGGAGGACCUGGUACUAUAAAGGGGCACAUCUAUAAAAGGACUAUAAUUUUGCUAAGGAAGGCUUUUUGGUGUAUUCUCCUUAUUGAAGACAAAAACAAAAAUAAUGGUGGCUUCAUCAAGCAUAUUAUUGUAUAUAGUUUAAUUGUUAUGCUAAAUCCAUAUAAAAAUUAUGUUUCCAUGGAUGAAG